GGGUGAGUAAUGUAUCGGAACGUACCUUUCAGUGGGGGAUAACGUAGCGAAAGUUACGCUAAUACCGCAUAUUCUGUGAGCAGGAAAGCAGGGGAUCGCAAGACCUUGCGCUGAUUGAGCGGCCGAUAUCAGAUUAGCUAGUUGGUGAGGUAAAGGCUCACCAAGGCGACGAUCUGUAGCGGGUCUGAGAGGAUGAUCCGCCACACUGGAACUGAGACACGGUCCAGACUCCUACGGGAGGCAGCAGUGGGGAAUUUUGGACAAAUGGGCGCAAGCCUGAUCCGGCCAUGCCGCGUGAGUGAAGAAGGCCUUCGGGUUGUAAAGCUCUUUCAGCCGGGAAGAAAACGCAUGGGUUAAUACCCUGUGUGGAUGACGGUACCGGAAUAAGAAGCACCGGCUAACUACGUGCCAGCAGCCGCGGUAAUACGUAGGGUGCGAGCGUUAAUCGGAAUUACUGGGCGUAAAGCGUGCGCAGGCGGUUUGUUAAGAUAGGCGUGAAAUCCCCGGGCUCAACCUGGGAACUGCGUUUAUGACUGGCAAGCUAGAGUAUGGCAGAGGGGGGUGGAAUUCCACGUGUAGCAGUGAAAUGCGUAGAGAUGUGGAGGAACACCGAUGGCGAAGGCAGCCCCCUGGGCCAAUACUGACGCUCAUGCACGAAAGCGUGGGUAGCAAACAGGAUUAGAUACCCUGGUAGUCCACGCCCUAAACGAUGUCAACUAGGUGUUGGGAGGGUAAAACCUUUUAGUACCGGAGCUAACGCGUGAAGUUGACCGCCUGGGGAGUACGGCCGCAAGGUUAAAACUCAAAGGAAUUGACGGGGACCCGCACAAGCGGUGGAUGAUGUGGAUUAAUUCGAUGCAACGCGAAAAACCUUACCUACCCUUGACAUGUCCGGAAGCCCUUAGAGAUUUGGGUGUGCUCGAAAGAGAGCCGGAACACAGGUGCUGCAUGGCUGUCGUCAGCUCGUGUCGUGAGAUGUUGGGUUAAGUCCCGCAACGAGCGCAACCCUUGUCGUUAAUUGCCAUCAUUUAGUUGGGCACUUUAACGAGACUGCCGGUGACAAACCGGAGGAAGGUGGGGAUGACGUCAAGUCCUCAUGGCCCUUAUGGGUAGGGCUUCACACGUCAUACAAUGGUCGGUACAAAGGGUCGCCAACCCGCGAGGGGGAGCCAAUCCCAGAAAGCCGAUCGUAGUCCGGAUCGUAGGCUGCAACUCGCCUGCGUGAAGUCGGAAUCGCUAGUAAUCGUGGAUCAGCAUGUCACGGUGAAUACGUUCCCGGGUCUUGUACACACCGCCCGUCACACCAUGGGAGCGGGUUCCGCCAGAAGUAGGUAGCCUAACCGCAAGGAGGGCGCUUACCACGGCGGGGUUCGUGACUGGGGUGAAGUCGG
rnacentral:rRNA from 1 species